rnacentral:tRNA from 3 species
GCCCUCGUAGCUCAGGGGAUAGAGCACCGCUCUCCUAAAGCGGGUGUCGAUGGUUCGAAUCCAUUCGGGGGCACGA